AGCCCCAAACUCACCAUCUGGCCGUGGACACCUGUGUCAGCAUGUGGGUCCUGGUUCUCUUCAUCGCCUUGCCUGUGGGGUGCACUGGUGAGACUGGGGGGAAAAAGGAAGGGGGGUGGGUUUUGACUCUUAUGCUGAAGCCCUUUCCCUCCCACCCAGCGCCCCAGCCUCGUCCCUUCAGCCCACAGUUCACCCCAGACAAUGUGCCCCUGACUCUUCCACAUUGCAAUAGUCCUCAUGCCCGCAGUAGGUCCCUGCUCCCUCCCACUUACCUCAGAACUUUCUCCCCAUUGCCCAGCCAAAUCCCUGCUCCCAGCUGCUUUACUAAAGAGCAAGUUCCUGGGCAUCUCUGUGUUUCUUUUUAUGGGGCUCAAAACCUUUCAAGGACCUCUCUCCAUGCCAUUGGUUCCUUGGACCCUAUCAUUGGGCUGCCUCCUGAGCCCCUCAGUCCUACCACAGUCUACUGACUUUUCCCAUUCAGCUGUGAGCAUUCAACCUUGUGCCCUGGACCUUGACACCUGGCUUCCCAACCCUGUCCCAGGAAACCCAGAUGCCACCAGACACUUCCUUCUCCCCCCGAGGCUAUCUGGCCUGACAACAAAUGCUGCCCCCCAUCCCCAGUCUGGCACUGGGACUCUGAGAACUCCUCCUUCCCUGACUCUUUGCCCCAGACCCUUCAUUCAAUGGCCAGCUUUUUCCAUGGGAAAAACACGAGCACCCCCAACUGCAACUGCCAGUUCUCUGAUUCCCUAAAUCUGCACCCUUUUCAAAACCUCAGAAGCAAAACAAAACAAAGCAAGAAACAACUCAGGCAGGACUGUUUGCUUAACCUUGGACAUGGUAAACCAUCCAAAAUCUUCCUUUCCCAGCAACUAAACCUCUCCAUUGGGCACUUAUCCCUGGUUUCUGGAACCCCUUAUUCUCUUAGAACCCACAGCUUCCACCACAGUUUCCCUUCUCCCAGUGUAAGACCCCAAAUCAUUCCAAAUGACCCAACCCCCAACCCGAUGCCUGCUCCAGAUGCUGUCCCAUGUUCCCUACUCUGAUCUCUGAGGUCAGCUCUGUUCUCAGAGCUUGAAGUCUUCCCACCUGGCCCAGCCACCAACCCGCUAACACAGGGAAUAGCUACAGAAUUCCCAGCCCUCCCAGGACCCCUUGCUUGUGUCCUGGACUCCCAGUCCUGGUCCUCUGCCCCCAUGUCUCUUCAAACCCAUAGCUCAGCUCCCUCCCUCCCCUAUCCAGUUCUUCUGGGUCUGAUCCCCCUGACCUAGCAUCCCCUCUGCAGGUGCCGCACCCCUCAUCCAGUCUCGGAUUGUGGGAGGCUGGGAGUGUGAGAAGCAUUCCCAACCCUGGCAGGCGGCUGUGUACAGUCAUGGAUGGGCACACUGUGGAGGUGUCCUGGUGCACCCCCAGUGGGUGCUCACAGCUGCCCAUUGCCUAAAGAAGAAUAGCCAGGUCUGGCUGGGUCGGCACAACCUGUUUGAGCCUGAAGACACAGGCCAGAGGGUCCCUGUCAGCCACAGCUUCCCAUACCCGCUCUACAAUAUGAGCCUUCUGAAGCGUCGAAGCCUUAGACCAGAUGAAGACUUCAGCCACGACCUCAUGUUGCUCCGCCUGUCAGAGCCUGCCAAGAUCACAGAUGCUGUGAAGGUCCUGGGCCUGCCCACCCAGGAGCCAGCACUGGGGACCACCUGCUACGCCUCAGGCUGGGGCAGCAUCCAACCAGAGGAGUUCUUGCGCCCAAAGAGUCUUCAGUGUGUGAGCCUCCAUCUCCUGUCCAAUGACAUGUGUGCUAGAGCUUACUCUGAGAAAGUGACAGAGUUCAUGUUGUGUGCUGGGCUCUGGACAGGUGGUAAAGACACUUGUGGGGGUGAUUCUGGGGGUCCACUUGUCUGUAAUGGUGUGCUUCAAGGUAUCACGUCAUGGGGCCCUGAGCCAUGUGCCCUGCCUGAAAAGCCUGCUGUAUACACCAAGGUGGUGCAUUACCAGAAGUGGAUCAAGGACACCAUCUCAGCCAACCCCUGAGUGCCCCUGUCCCACCCCUACCUCUAGUAAAUUUAAGUCCACCUCACGUUCUGGCAUCACUUGGCCUUUCUGGAUGCUGGCCACCUGAAGCUUGGAACUCACCUGGCCAAAACUCGAGCCUCCUGAGUCCUACUGACCUGUGCUUUCUGGUGUGGAGUCCAAGGCUGCUAGGAAAAGGAAUGGGCAGACACAGGUGUAGGCCAGUGUUUCUGAAAUGGGUAUAAUUUCGUCCUUUUCUUCAGAACACUGGCUGUGUCUGGAGACUUCUCACUCAGUUUCAGUGAGGACACACACAAGGACGUGGGUGACCAUUUUGUUUGUGGGGUGCAGAGACAGGAGGGGUGGGGCCCACCCUGGAAGAGUGGACAGUGACACAAGGUGGACACUCUUUACAGAUCCCUGAGGAUAAGCUGGAGCCACAAUGUGCGAGGCACAUGCACAGCAAGGAUGACACUGAAAACAUAACCCACUCUGUCCUGGGGGCACUAGGAAGCCUAGAUAAGGCUGUGGGCAGAAAGAAGGGGAGGGUCCUUCUAUGUUGUUGAAGGAGGGACUAAGGGGAGAAACUGAAAGCUGAUUAAUUACAUGAGGUGUGUUCAGGUCCCCCAAACCACUGUCAGAUUUGAUGGUUUCCUAGCAGGACUUACAGAAAUAAAGAGCCAUCAUGCUGUG
rnacentral:sRNA from 1 species